AAAACACACACAUUGCAAUUUUAUUUCAUUUCAGUAACUGCAAAAAAUCCUCUAGCAGAAAAGGACACAGAAACUUCUAAAGCUCUUUUUCCCAUUAACUUCAAGUAACGCGUUCCUUCCAGAAAGGAAAUCUGUCUAUGUAGGAAGCUCCUCAAUCACUGCUCUGCAGCCUCUGCUUUUGUAAGAAAAUAGCAAGGAUAAUAAAAUUUUGCAUUUUAGCUUUUCCUAAUAUCACACAGUCCUAGCCAACCAACAGUUUAUUAUAACAUCAAGCAUCUGGGGCAGGACAUAAAAAGCACUACGGUUCCCACAUGACAAGUGGAUUUCAGACCAUUAUUAGCAACAGCAGAAUGGCCCACUCUAAUAACUAUAUGUAGGCUUUUAACAGUUUGAUUUUGCUUGUCAUUUUAAGACACUUCCAGUGCAUGCCAGAACUAAGACAAAAUCAAAGUGUGAGCAUCCUGUCAAGCAGCAUAGAGGAGAAAAUGCUACACAGACCAAUGGCAGGGACUUGUACUGAAAUUACUGCUCCGUAAGAUUUUUGUCAUCUCUAACAACUAAGUUGUACUUGAAAAAUAUAAAACCAACUUACUUGUGGCUAAAAACUUGGCGAACUCCCAGACACUUUUGCUGGGAAAAGCUAGUGCACUAGAUUUCCAACUUUCUUUUCUUACACAACUGCCAGUCAGGACUACCUGAGAAAGGAGUCAGAUACCAGUCAGGGGACUCCAGCGCUAACUGGAAAGUUACAGCCAGAAACAAAGGGGCAGGCACGUAGGGUGCCUACGUACAGCAGAACGGCCCCAGCACUAAUCAUCAAGGAAAAGGUAGAUAGUGCAGAAUCACCGAAUCAUUUAGGUUGGAAAAGACCUCUAGGAUCACGUAGCCCGACCUCCGAAGCACCACCCCCACUGCAGCACGCCAAGGCCGCACCCUGGGCGCACUCCUUGCUGCCCAGACGUGGUCCUACAUCCGAUGCUUGGGCUGGACCAAAGGAGCCACCUGCACCAUGGGGCGCUGCCAGAGGGGCUGUGCACUGCAAGGGACAGGGCAGCGCUCUCCGUGUACUUCUCUUCCAUGUGCUUAUCUCGGACCACCUAUGGGAACAGAUGGUGUUACCGCAAGGGCAAGGGGCUUCUGAGCCAGCACGGCUGCCGGAUGACGUGUGGCCAGUUUCCUCCGGCCCAGCAAACCAGCCCCAACGCUCCCACUGGGUCUGAUUUAACGGGUUUCUUUCUGAGGGACAACGAAGACCUCCCCUGCAUGGUAACAGCCGCAGCACGUUUGGCCAUGAAGAUCAGAUGCUGCUCUCAUACCAAUCUGGAAACAACCUUCAAAUAUAAGAACCCAGCGCACUGUGCAAAUAAGGAGAAAAGUCCACAGCAAUGUCAGAGCACUUGUAUCCUGCAAGUUUCCCUGCCCAAGAAACCUGUUGUAAAUUCUUGAGAUGAUAAACGAAGAAGAGAUCACAUCUGGGUUUUACCUUUCACAAGUUUCUACAUCAACUCCAUGUCUAGAAUAGCAACAACCCUGUGAACUGCAAGCCUACAGCAAAUGCUGCCAACAAGGAAAGCUACGUAUGUGAAGGCUGAGAAGAUAUAUGUACUAGACCAAGUGGAAGCCUAUUUAUAUAUUUGGGCUACAUUUCCAAUACUGAAAUACCACUGCAUUUUACCAGAGAGCUGUUAGAGUGCUAAAGCUUUUUAUACCAGUAUAAUAAAAUCGCCAUUUUCAAGGAAAAAAAAGUAUAU
ensembl:lncRNA